CCUACGGGGGGCAGCAGUGGGGAAUAUUGCACAAUGGGGGAAACCCUGAUGCAGCGACGCCGCAUGAGUGAAGAAGUAAUUCGUUACGUAAAGCUCUAUCAGCAGGGAAGAAAUACUGACCUUACGGUCAGCAGACGGUACCUGAGUCAGAAGCCCCGGCUAACUACGUGCCAGCAGCCGCGGUAAUACGUAGGGGGCAAGCGUUAUCCGGAUUUACUGGGUGUAAAGGGAGCGUAGACGGUGCGCCAAGUCUGGAGUGAAAUGCCGCAGCUUAACUGCGGAACUGCUUUGGAAACUGGCGAACUAGAGUGCGGGAGGGGUAAGCGGAAUUCCUAGUGUAGCGGUGAAAUGCGUAGAUAUUAGGAGGAACACCGGUGGCGAAGGCGGCUUACUGGACCGUAACUGACGUUGAGGCUCGAAAGCGUGGGGAGCAAACAGGAUUAGAUACCCCUGUAGUC
rnacentral:rRNA from 1 species